rnacentral:lncRNA from 1 species
AUCGACCUCCUCCUCUUCGCAAUCGUCGCCUUCUCAUCUGCGUCUUUAGCACCGUGGAUCCUGCGUGCUAUCCAUCGUCAGGUGAUGUCUCCUCUUUCUCUUCUACGUAUCAGCCCAUGGCCUUUCUAUCGCUCGUAUCACUCUGUUCCCUGUCAGCAUUCUCUUAACCACCGCAUUACCUGCAUUUGUUUUAUCGUGUCGUAAUGUUGGACCGAAGAUGUGAUGCAGGUGCUCUGAAUCUCUGAUAGCUCAACCGCAUGAUUGAUUGAUCUCUAACUACAUGAUCAAAAUAGACAUUGUACCCUCUCGGUUGUUCUGAUUCUCUAAGAUGUAUACUGCUGCUCUGAUUUUGUUGGUUCGUGGUCACCUAAGGUGGUGAGUAAUCUAGUACAGUAGGACAGAUAGGUUUUGCAAGGAUAGCUUUUAAGUAAAAUUGAUAAGUAUGGAUCUACUCCUGCUUGCUUUCUUUGCCAUGCGCUAUUUAGAACUUGGGAUCAGAGGGGUAUGCAAGCGCUUCCUACUAUUGCUCACAGCUGACAAAGCUAGAACAACUAUUUUGUUACACUGGAAGCUAUACUAAUCAAGAGGACUUUUGAUUCAUAUCUGACACUAGGAUUCUUACUGUAUGGUUCUACUGCCUGCUACUGAAUGUAAACUGCUGCAGAUAAUUACAUCAUGUUAUAACCCAAUUUGAUUCAGGUCAAGAUGAAAGGGUGUAUAACAGCUACAAAGAAAAGUGUGACUCUAGGAAACAAGCAAAAGGUAAUGUAUGGUGAUGGAAAAUGUAUACCGAAGAAAUGGUGUGAGGAUAAGAAAGCACUGAUGUAGCAGAUAAAUACGGAGCACAGAUAAGUACAAUUGCCACAUACUAGAAGAGAUAAGAAUGAAGGUUGAUUUUGCCGACCUCCCCUCCAUUCUGAUAUUUGUUAAACUAUGUCUUCUUGUGUUACAUUGAUAGUCGGAGUUCCGUAUAUCUUGGACAUGCACCUGUGCCCAGACCUUUAUUUCAGUGAAUCUAUAUCAUUUGCAAACAUACUUGGGAUUAGUUCCUCAAUAGUACCUAUCUCCAUGACUCCAUCCAGGCACUACAUAUUGUGCUACUGGAAUUUAUGAAGUUCAGUUCUCUUCUUGCUCAUCUGUAGCCUUUGAUGGUAAUAUUCUUUUUUUUUUUUGCAAAUCUGUAUGAUAUGGGAAUCAUUAUACUAAGAGAUUUGAUGGGGCACAUUAUGUUUUAGAUUUUGUUUUCUACAAUUGGAUCUAGGAAAACAUUUGGUUUCCCUCCUGAUUUUACUUCUGUGGUGAUAGCACUAGAGCAGUAGGGAUACUUUGGUUACCAACUGAAACUAUAUAGAUGAUUAGAUUUGGCAACUUAUUUGCAGUCUGAAGAUGUAAUACAUGUCACCUUCAGUAUUUUCAGCUUUCAUACCUCUGGUAGAAUUAAAAUUGGAUUCAGACGUGUGCUUCCAACAGUAGAGCAAUAGGGAUAUUUUUCUUAACAAAUGGAACACUAGCUUUGCCAAUUAGUUUGUAGCCCAAAGAUGCAAAGUGCUGAUACAUUUACUUUUAGUAUCACCUUUCAUACCUACAGUAGAAUUGGGUUACAGACGUGUAUUUCCAUAUUGCUCUGACUUAUAUAAUUUUUAGAGGACACAUGAUGGACAUAUGCCUGCCCUGCGCCUCAACACAUGCAGAUUGUUCCAUGCCAUUCAUGGUUUUGAAAUAGCUGCCUCUUCAUAUAUCAAAACUUGUGAACAUAUAUACUAUGUAAUUGAAAAUACUUGCUUUGUGUGUGUGCAUGCGUGUGUUCCUGCAUAUAGAUACAGAAAUAUGAUUGCCCAGGCUUCUCUUCGUAAAAGUAGCUUUUGAUCGUUUGGCUGGAAAAAGGUAUCUGCCUAAUGGCAUGUGGCUGCUAAGUUAUGUCUUACGUGUUUUCUACUGAAGCCAUUUUUAUGCAAUUGGUAAUGGCAAAGCAGGCAUGAUUGCCCACAUACUUGAACAACAAUGUCAUUGCAUUGCCUAUUGGAUUUAAACAAAAUGAAAACAGUAGUAGCAGACAAACAUGGUACUGUGCAGACAUUUCUGAUAAAACAGCUUGCAUUUUUACUGUAUUACAUACAUUAUGAAAGAACGAAAUGCAAAUGUAUGACAGGUUUUGGUUUACCAAAACUAACCUUCAGUAUCUUCUCUUUUGUAUUUACUGAAUUGUUCUUUCAUGCAGAGGCCUUUGGGGUCUUCACAGGAUGUUCUCGUAUCAACGUCAACCAGAAUACCAGGGCACACACCAGAGCACUGUGUAAUGUCUACUUUUUUUUCCAGAGGAAAUGUAACUGACUAGAAGGUAUAAAAAAAUUAUUCCUUUGUAAUUAUUUAUUUUCAAUUUCUCAUUUUGUAAGAUUGUUUGCCAAACCAAUACAAUGCAAAGACAGCCGUAGUUGUCU